GGCAAAAAAAAAAAAAACCCUCUCCAUAUAUCCCCUUCUCUUUUUUUCUUGUUUGCUUACGAUUGAAGGCGAGCAGGAGAAACCCAGCCCAGAAACCUGCCCUCACCGUCGCCGCGGAAGAUGCCGCAGCAGCAGCCGGGGGCCGGCGCCCACGUCCUGGACUCCGUACCACUCUUCGUCGUCAUCCUCGGGGCCGCUCACGUCCUAGCCCUCGUGUUCUGGAUCUACAAGCUGGCUUCCCAGAAGCAGCCGACGCGGAGCAAGACGCACUGACCGCGCCCGCGGUCGCAUCUCACGAUUUCGUGCUGUCUGUUUUUUCUUUUUAGGGUAGAUCGCCUUCGUUUCCUCCCCAGUGAGUCCUCAGAGAUGAUGCAGCUCUUCUGGCUGGAGGGCACCACCACCGUCCUAUAAGUUCUUCACCAAGAUGUGGCACAUGUUCGGCAGGAUUAUCUGUUCUGUAGUCUCCUUUCUGGCAUGUAUGGACACAUCCCUGAUUUCCCGUUUUCGAUGUCCGAAUAAUGGAGUAUAUCUAUUAGACAUAACAGUGACAGUAAUUUAUUCAGUGGGCUAUCUCUUGUCUUGUCUGUAAAGAUCUUAGAAAUAAUUGCUUCAAAGAA